CGUGACAUAGCUCAGCUGGUAGAGCAGGUGCUUCAUACGCAUCAGGUCAGUGGUUCGAUCCCACUUGUCACGA
rnacentral:tRNA from 2 species